ACAGCAGCAGCCGCGGGAAUACGGAGGGUGCAAGCGUUAAUCGGAAUUACUGGGCGUAAAGCGCACGCAGGCGGUCUGACAAGUCAGAUGUGAAAUCCCCGGGCUUAACCUGGGAACUGCAUUUGAAACUGUCAGGCUGGAGUCUUGUAGAGGGGUGUAGAAUUCCAGGUGUAGCGGUGAAAUGCGUAGAGAUCUGGAGGAAUACCGGUGGCGAAGGCGGCCCCCUGGACAAAGACUGACGCUCAGGUGCGAAAGCGUGGGGAGCAAACAGGAUUAGAUACCCCGGUAGUCCCUGUCUCUUAUAC
rnacentral:rRNA from 1 species